rnacentral:rRNA from 1 species
GACGAACGCUGGCAGCGUGCUUAACACAUGCAAGUCGAACGAAAGGAAGAGAAAAGCUUGCUUUUUUCUGAAUUGAGUGGCAAACGGGUGAGUAACACGUAAACAACCUGCCUUCAGGAUGGGGACAACAGACGGAAACGACUGCUAAUACCGAAUACGUUCCACAGAGCGCAUGCUUUAUGGAAGAAAGGGUGGCCUCUACCUGUAAGCUAUCGCCUGAAGAGGGGUUUGCGUCUGAUUAGGCAGUUGGCGGGGUAACGGCCCACCAAACCGACGAUCAGUAGCCGGUCUGAGAGGAUGAACGGCCACACUGGAACUGAGACACGGUCCAGACUCCUACGGGAGGCAGCAGUGGGGAAUCUUCCGCAAUGGGCGAAAGCCUGACGGAGCAACGCCGCGUGAGUGAAGACGGCCUUCGGGUUGUAAAGCUCUGGAUCCGGGACGAAAGAGCGCCAUACGAAGAAUAGGCGAAGGACGGUACCGUGAAGAAAGCAGGGCAUUUCCGGU